CUUAUGUCAUGGUCACCAACAGAUAUUUUGGUUUUGUGCUUCCCUGGACCUUCUUUCAGUUUUGCUGUCACAAGUGACAUUGCUAUUUUCUUCGUAAUGCAUAGAAUGCAAAAUAGGCCUCUAGAUGAGCUGGGAUCUUCAUGCACAUUUAAUUUACAUUGGUUUAAUUGUGUGUUGACAUAACAUCAGCUGUCUAUGACUGACAUUUGAU